rnacentral:rRNA from 1 species
UACGUAGGGGGCAAGCGUUGUCCGGAAUCAUUGGGCGUAAAGCGCGCGUAGGCGGCCCCGGUAAGUCCGCUCUGAAAAGUCCCAGGGCUCAACCCUGGAAAAGCGGGUGGAUACUGCCGGGCUAGAAUCCGGAAGAGGCGAGUGGAAUUCCUGGUGUAGCGGUGGAAUGCGCAGAUAUCAGGAGGAACACCAAUAGCGAAGGCAGCUCGCUGGGACGGUAUUGACGCUAAGGCGCGAAAGCGUGGGGGAGCAAACAGG